AUGAACGCUGGCGGCGUGCCUAGUACAUGCAAGUCGAGCGCACGGACGAGAAGCUUGCUUUUCUGAUGUUAGCGGCGGACGGGUGAGUAACACGUGGAUAACCUACCUAUAAGACUGGGAUAACUUCGGGAAACCGGAGCUAAUACCGGAUAAUAUUUUGAACCGCAUGGUUCAAAAGUGAAAGACGGUCUUGCUGUCACUUAUAGAUGGAUCCGCGCUGCAUUAGCUAGUUGGUAAGGUAACGGCUUACCAAGGCAACGAUGCAUAGCCGACCUGAGAGGGUGAUCGGCCACACUGGAACUGAGACACGGUCCAGACUCCUACGGGAGGCAGCAGUAGGGAAUCUUCCGCAAUGGGCGAAAGCCUGACGGAGCAACGCCGCGUGAGUGAUGAAGGUCUUCGGAUCGUAAAACUCUGUUAUUAGGGAAGAACAUAUGUGUAAGUAACUGUGCACAUCUUGACGGUACCUAAUCAGAAAGCCACGGCUAACUACGUG
rnacentral:rRNA from 1 species